GGGGGGGUCGUUAAUCGGAAUUACUGGGCGUAAGCGCGCGUAGGUGGCUUGAUAAGCCGGUUGUGAAAGCCCCGGGCUCAACCUGGGAACGGCAUCCGGAACUGUCAAGCUAGAGUGCAGGAGAGGAAGGUAGAAUUCCCGGUGUAGCGGUGAAAUGCGUAGAGAUCGGGAGGAAUACCAGUGGCGAAGGCGGCCUUCUGGACUGACACUGACACUGAGGUGCGAAAGCGUGGGUAGCAAACAGGAUUAGAUACCCUGGUAGUCCACGCCGUAAACGAUGUCGACCAGCCGUUGGGUGCCUAGCGCACUUUGUGGCGAAGUUAACGCGAUAAGUCGACCGCCUGGGGAGUACGGCCGCAAGGUUAAAACUCAAAUGAAUUGACGGGGGCCCGCACAAGCGGUGGAGCAUGUGGUUUAAUUCGAUGCAACGCGAAGAACCUUACCUACUCUUGACAUCCUGCGAACUUGUGAGAGAUCACUUGGUGCCUUCGGGAACGCAGAGACAGGUGCUGCAUGGCUGUCGUCAGCUCGUGUUGUGAAAUGUUGGGUUAAGUCCCGUAACGAGCGCAACCCUUGUCCUUAUUUGCCAGCGCGUAAUGGCGGGAACUCUAAGGAGACUGCCGGUGACAAACCGGAGGAAGGUGGGGACGACGUCAAGUCAUCAUGGCCCUUACGAGUAGGGCUACACACGUGCUACAAUGGCCGGUACAAAGGGUUGCGAGCUCGCGAGAGUCAGCUAAUCCCGAAAAGCCGGUCUCAGUCCGGAUCGGAGUCUGCAACUCGACUCCGUGAAGUCGGAAUCGCUAGUAAUCGUGAAUCAGAAUGUCACGGUGAAUACGUUCCCGGGCCUUGUACACACCGCCCGUCACACCAUGGGAGUGGACUGCACCAGAAGUGGUUAGCUUAACCUUCGGGAAAGCGAUCACCACGGUGUGGUUCAUGACUGGGGUGAACUAGGGGGGGGGGCCGCCACAUAUAAAAAAGGGGAUCUG
rnacentral:rRNA from 1 species